GCCACCCAGGCGCCCCGAAUUGCUGGAUUCCUUAUGGGUGGUUUCUAGCUCUCAUAUAGAACUUAUUGGGAAUAGCUUCCCAUUCCUCUUACUUCUCCUUGAGCGUUCUGCCUGUACUUUGGACUAACACUGACUGAUGUAAGAUUUUUGGUUCUACCAUUUCUGAUGUAUCUGUAAGUUAUGGAUGCCUCCAUCACUGACUAGUGAGUACGUGACUACACAAACAAUAGUUUGGCUUAUGGACUCAAGAUCUUUUAUUGCCAUAGUGAACAUGCCAGCAUCGUGAAUUGGCCAAAAUGCUAUCCCAAGGCCAGGAUAUGAGAGAUCUAUCAGUCUACAUGUUCUCUUGCUUUGGAGCUAGGUAUCCUUGACUCACCUCAGCUGUGCAUUCCCCACUCCCACUCAUAAACCUUUUCCUUAGUACGAAUUAUUUUUCCUGUUAUUCAUUAGUAGCCUUUAUUCCAGAUUUGGUUUUCAUCUUUUACAGUUACUAAACCAAGGAGAAUUAACUGAAAGCCGGACAUGAGCAUGGACACUGACUCCUGGAAGAGCAGCUCUGUCUGAUCCCAGAGUGCACAUAGUGGGAACAGGAUGCUUCUGGCUCAUGGUCUGCCAGAACCAAAAUGAAUCUGUGAAGGACAGGACCCCGCGUCUGCCUCUGUUCAUCUUUCCUGACAUAGAAGAUGAAUGUGGGAGAGCUUCUCUUCAAACCACAUCUGAUCUAGACAAGGAAGAAAGCAGUGAAUGUGGGCUGGGUAACUGUACCUACCUCUCUUCCCACUACAAAAUUUUGGGAAGGACUUCUCCCAAAAGGGAAUUGGAUUAUGUGUUGGCUGAAAUUUCUUCAGUAUGACUGUUGAGAUGGGAUUUUCCUCUGAAGAAUUUUCAUCCCCGACUCAGCUGUCUUUUCACAUGGAUGAACUAAGUCCUGCCACCAACCAUAAAACUUCACCAAGAAGUUGAGCUUUCAAGAUGCCUUGUUGCUUUGGAGAAGGGAGUGAUGCCAGUUCUGCUGUAGCAUUCUCCCUUUAGCAACCUGAGUAAGAGACUCUGCCGCUGGGCUGCAAAAAAAUAAAUUACUUGAAUCCCUACUUGGCCCGGGCUGAGGUACUAUCUUGUCAUAUCCACUUCUACUUGGUCAGUUUGCUUUCUUUGUUUAUGGAAUAUACAGUAGCAUGUUAAAAGGUUUUUUGUUUUUUUAAAGUUAAAUAUCACAUGAUUCAGAGCUUCAGUUGUUUUCCCUUUAAAUAAACAAGACAGCCCAGUCAGUUCUUUGGUUCCUUGUUUUGGACAAAACCUGUUUACUUAGAGAGGAGAUCAAGAAAAUAGUUCAGGCUUUCCCUUUAAGAGAGGGCACUGAUUUACCCUUUGGAUUCCAUGCAGGUAAAACUGAGCCCAGGAGUCUUGAGGAACAGAACAUCUUCAUCUCUAACUAGCAAACCUAGAUAGUAGUUAUCAUAGUACCGCUCUGUCGUCACCAGAAGGGACCAUGUCUGAGUCUGGAAAAUGGCAAUAAUAACAUACUUUUGAAUUUUUCCAGAGAGUUAAAAAAAACAAAAACAUGAGAAAUGUGCUUCUGUUAAGAGUAGGCACUCUUGCUAUCAUCCUGUCUCUACAGCUGUUAGAGAAUAUCUGAUUAAUCAUUGGUGAGAAGAAGAGUGUUCCAGAGAUCACUUACUAGUAGAAAAUCAUGGCUGUCAGAGAAUUUUCACUUUAUUUAAAAUGAACCUCAUGCUGACACAUACAUACCAUGCACACAGUGGCAUAUUCUAAACAGAUAACAGGAAAGAAUUAACUGCUGUAAUAAAUAAAUAUAGUUCUUAAUUUGUUAA